CCUACGGGUGGCAGCAGUGAGGAAUAUUGGUCAAUGGACGAGAGUCUGAACCAGCCAAGUAGCGUGAAGGAUGACUGCCCGAUGGGUUGUAAACUUCUUUUAUAUGGGAAUAAAACGUUCCACGUGUGGGAUUUUGUAUGUACCAUAUGAAUAAGGAUCGGCUAACUCCGUGCCAGCAGCCGCGGUAAUACGGAGGAUCCGAGCGUUAUCCGGAUUUAUUGGGUUUAAAGGGAGCGUAGGUGGAGUGUUAAGUCAGUUGUGAAAGUUUGCGGCUCAACCGUAAAAUUGCAGUUGAAACUGGCAGUCUUGAGUACAGUAGAGGUGGGCGGAAUUCGUGGUGUAGCGGUGAAAUGCUUAGAUAUCACGAAGAACUCCGAUUGCGAAGGCAGUUCACUGGACUGCAACUGACACUGAGGCUCGAAAGUGUGGGUAUCAAACAGGAUUAGAUACCCGAGUAGUC
rnacentral:rRNA from 1 species